rnacentral:rRNA from 1 species
GGAGGAAUAUUGGGCAAUGGGGGAAACCCUGACCCAGCAACGCCGCGUGAAGGAUGAAGGCCUUCGGGUUGUAAACUUCUGUGACAGGGGAAGAAAGAAAUGACGGUACCCUGGGAGGAAGCCACGGCAAACUACGUGCCAGCAGCCGCGGUAAUACGUAGGUGGCGAGCGUUGUCCGGAAUCACUGGGCGUAAAGGGCGCGUAGGCGGCAAUACAAGUCGCAUGUGAAAUACCAGGGCUCAACCCUGGGGGGCCAUGCGAAACUGUAUAGCUUGAGUGCAGUAGAGGUAAGCGGAAUUCCUGGUGUAGCGGUAAAAUGCGUAGAGAUCAGGAGGAACACCGGUGGCGAAGGCGGCUUACUGGGCUGCAACUGACGCUGAGGCGCGAAAGCGUGGGGAGCAAACA